rnacentral:rRNA from 1 species
GACGAACGCUGGCGGCGUGCUUAACACAUGCAAGUCGAACGAAGAGCGAUGGAAGCUUGCUUCUAUCAAUCUUAGUGGCGAACGGGUGAGUAACGCGUAAUCAACCUGCCCUUCAGAGGGGGACAACAGUUGGAAACGACUGCUAAUACCGCAUACGAUCUAAUCUCGGCAUCGAGGAUAGAUGAAAGGUGGCCUCUACAUGUAAGCUAUCACUGAAGGAGGGGAUUGCGUCUGAUUAGCUAGUUGGAGGGGUAACGGCCCACCAAGGCGAUGAUCAGUAGCCGGGCUGAGAGGAUGAACGGCCACAUUGGGACUGAGACAUGGCCCAGACUCCUACGGGAGGCAGCAGUGGGGAAUCUUCCGCAAUGGACGAAAGUCUGACGGAGCAACGCCGCGUGAGUGAUGACGGCCUUCGGGUUGUAAAGCUCUGUUAAUCGGGACGAAAGGCCUUCUUGCGAACAGUUAGAAGGAUUGACGGUACCGGAAUAGAAAGCCACGGCUAACUACGUG